UACAGAGACCCCAAGCGUUACCCGGAAUCACUGGGCGUAAAGAGUGCGUAGGCGGCAGUGUUAGUCUUCUGUUAAAACUCCGGGCUCAACCCGGAGAUCGCAGAGGAAACGGCACUGCUGGAGGGUGCGAGAGGUAUAUGGAACUCUAGGUGUAGGGGUGAAAUCCGUUGAUAUCUAGGGGAACACCAAAAGCGAAGGCAAUAUACUGGCGCAUUCCUGACGCUGAGGCACGAAAGCGUGGGUAGCGAAUGGG
rnacentral:misc_RNA from 1 species